rnacentral:rRNA from 1 species
AGCGAACGCUGGCGGCAGGCCUAACACAUGCAAGUCGAACGAACCUUUCGGGGUUAUUGGCGGACGGGUGAGUAACACGUGGGAACGUGCCUUUAGGUUCGGCAUAACUCAGGGAAACUUGUGCUAAUACCGAAUGUGCCCUUCGGGGGAAAGAUUUAUCGCCUUUAGAGCGGCCCGCGUCUGAUUAGCUAGUUGGUUGAGGUAAUGGCUCACCAAGGCGACGAUCAGUAGCUGGUCUGAGAGGAUGAUCAGCCACAUUGGGACUGAGACACGGCCCAAACUCCUACGGGAGGCAGCAGUGGGGAAUCUUGCGCAAUGGGCGAAAGCCUGACGCAGCCAUGCCGCGUGAAUGAUGAAGGUCUUAGGAUUGUAAAAUUCUUUCACCGGGGACGAUAAUGACGGUACCCGGAGAAGAAGCCCCGGCUAACUUCGUG